CAAGUCCAAGCGCCUGCGAACCCGGGCCCGGGGGGGACGGCGCCCGCCAGGAGCGCCCCCCACUCCCAGGCCAGCCCACCCCUGUGGACCGGGCCCCGCGCGCCCAGGCGAGGCCUACUUGGAUGAUUGUCACCGGAGGUAUAGCUGUGCCCACUGCCGCGCUCACCUGGCCAACCACGACGACCUCAUCUCCAAGUCCUUCCAGGGCAGUCAGGGGCGUGCCUACCUCUUCAACUCAGUGGUGAACGUGGGCUGCGGGCCAGCCGAGGAGCGGGUGCUGCUGACCGGCCUCCAUGCUGUCGCCGACAUCCACUGCGAGAACUGCAAGACCACUUUGGGCUGGAAAUAUGAACAGGCCUUUGAGAGCAGCC
rnacentral:sRNA from 1 species